CCUACGGGAGGCAGCAGUGGGGAAUAUUGCACAAUGGGGGAAACCCUGAUGCAGCGACGCCGCGUGAGUGAAGACGUAACUCGUUAUGUAAAGCUCUAUCAGCAGGGAAGAAAAUGACGGUACCUGAGUAAGAAGCCCCGGCUAACUACGUGCCAGCAGCCGCGGUAAUACGUAGGGGGCAAGCGUUAUCCGGAUUUACUGGGGGUAAAGGGAGCGUAGACGGCAGUGCAAGUCUGGAGUGAAAGGCGGGGGCUCAACCCCCGGACUGCUGUGGAAACUGUACGGCUGGAGUGCAGGAGAGGUAAGUGGAAUUCCUAGUGUAGCGGUGAAAUGCGUAGAUAUUAGGAAGAACACCAGUGGCGAAGGCAGCUUACUGGACUGUAACUGACGUUGAGGCUCGAAAGCGUGGGGAGCGAACAGGAUUAGAUACCCCAGUAGUC
rnacentral:rRNA from 1 species